rnacentral:rRNA from 1 species
GAUGAACGCUGGCGGCGUGCUUAACACAUGCAAGUCGAACGGAAAGGCCCAAGCUUGCUUGGGUACUCGAGUGGCGAACGGGUGAGUAACACGUGGGUGAUCUGCCCUGCACUUCGGGAUAAGCCUGGGAAACUAGGUCUAAUACCGGAUAGGACGAUGGUUUGGAUGCCAUUGUGGAAAGUUUUUUCGGUGUGGGAUGAGCUCGCGGCCUAUCAGCUUGUUGGUGGGGUAAUGGCCUACCAAGGCGUCGACGGGUAGCCGGCCUGAGAGGGUGUACGGCCACAUUGGGAAUGAGAUACGGCCCAGACUCCUACGGGAGGCAGCAGUGGGGAAUAUUGCACAAUGGGCGCAAGCCUGAUGCAGCGACGCCGCGUGGGGGAUGACGGCCUUCGGGUUGUAAACUCCUUUCGCUAGGGACGAAGCGUUUUUGUGACGGUACCUGGAGAAGAAGCACCGGCUAACUACGUG